GACGAACGCUGGCGGCGUGCUUAACACAUGCAAGUCGAACGGAAAGGCUCCAGCUUGCUGGAGUACUCGAGUGGCGAACGGGUGAGUAACACGUGGGUAAUCUGCCCUGCACUCUGGGAUAAGCCUGGGAAACUGGGUCUAAUACAGUAUAUGACCUUUCUCCUUAUUGGGUUUGGUGGAAAGUUUUUCGGUGUAGGAUGAGCCCGCGGCCUAUCAGCUUGUUUGGGGGGUGAUGGCCUACCAAGGCGACGAAGGGUAGCCGGCCUGAGAGGGGGAUCGGCCACAUUGGGACUGCGAUACGGACCAGACUCCAACGGGAGGCAGCAGUGGGGAAUAUUGCACAAUGGGAGGAAGCCUGAUGAAGAGACGCCGCGUGAGGGAUGACCGCCUUCGGGUUGAAAACCUCUUUCAGCAGGGACGACGCGUAAGUGACGGUACCUGAAGAAGAAGCACCGGCUAACUAUGUG
rnacentral:rRNA from 1 species